rnacentral:rRNA from 1 species
UACAGAGGUCUCGAGCGUUGUUCGGAUUCAUUGGGCGUAAAGGGUGCGUAGGUGGCGCCGUAAGUCAGGUGUGAAAUUUCGGAGCUUAACUCCGAAACUGCAUUUGAUACUGCGGUGCUUGAGGACUGGAGAGGAGACUGGAAUUUACGGUGUAGCAGUGAAAUGCGUAGAGAUCGUAAGGAAGACCAGUGGCGAAGGCGGGUCUCUGGACAGUUACUGACACUGAGGCACGAAGGCCAGGGGAGCAAACGGG